UACAGAGGUCUCAAGCGUUGUUCGGAUUCAUUGGGCGUAAAGGGUGCGUAGGCGGCGCGGUAAGUCGGGUGUGAAAUCUCGGAGCUUAACUCCGAAACUGCAUUCGAUACUGCCGUGCUUGAGGCCGGGAGAGGUGAGUGGAAUUCCCAGUGUAGCGGUGAAAUGCGUAGAUAUUGGGAGGAACACCAGUGGCGAAGGCGGCUCACUGGACCGGUUCUGACGCUGAGGCGCGAAAGCGUGGGGAGCAAACGGGG
rnacentral:rRNA from 1 species